AGGACGAACGCUGGCGGCGUGCUUAACACAUGCAAGUCGAGCGGAAAGGCCCUUCGGGGUACUCGAGCGGCGAACGGGUGAGUAACACGUGAGCAAUCUGCCCUUAGCUUCGGGAUAGCCCCGGGAAACCGGGAUUAAUACCGAAUACGACCUCAGCCGACAUCGGCUCUGGUGGAAAGUUUUUCGGCUAGGGAUGAACUCGCGGCCUAUCAGCUUGUUGGUGGGGUAAUGGCCUACCAAGGCGACGACGGGUAGCCGGCCUGAGAGGGCGACCGGCCACACUGGGACUGAGACACGGCCCAGACUCCUACGGGAGGCAGCAGUGGGGAAUAUUGCGCAAUGGGCGAAAGCCUGACGCAGCGACGCCGCGUGGGGGAUGAAGGCCUUCGGGUUGUAAACCCCUUUCAGUUGGGACGAAGCUUCGUCGGUUAAUAGCCGACUGGAGUGACGGUACCUUCACAAGAAGCACCGGCUAACUACGUGCCAGCAGCCGCGGUA
rnacentral:rRNA from 1 species